AGAUGGAAAGAACCGCAUGGGGGCCAAUACCCCUCAUGCCUGACGGUACCAUCAGAGGAAGCACCGGCUAACUCCGUGCCAGCAGCCGCGGUAAUACGGGGGGUGCAAGCGUUGUUCGGAAUUAUUGGGCGUAAAGAGCGUGUAGGCGGCAGGAUGUGUCAGAUGUGAAAGCCCUGAGCUCAACUCAGGAAGUGCAUUUGAAACUGUCCAGCUUGAGUAGGGGAGAGGGAAGUGGAUUCCUGGUGUAGAGGUGAAAUUCGUAGAUAUCAGGAGGACACCGGUGGCGAAGGCGACUUCUGGCCCUAUACUGACGCUGAGACGCGAGAGCGUGGGUAGCAAACAGGAUUAGAUACCCUGGUAGUCCACGCCGUAAACGAUGUUCACUAGGUGUUGGGGGUAUUGACCCCCUCAGUGCCGGAGCUAACGCGUUAAGUGAACCGCCUGGGGAGUACGGUCGCAAGACUAAAACUCAAAGGAAUUGANCGGGGGCCCGCACAAGCGGUGGAGCAUGUGGUUUAAU
rnacentral:rRNA from 1 species